rnacentral:siRNA from 1 species
GGAAACGGGCGGUUGCGGUUUCA